rnacentral:rRNA from 1 species
GACGAAGGGGGCUAGCGUUGUUCGGAAUUACUGGGCGUAAAGCGCACGUAGGCGGACUAUUAAGUCAGGGGUGAAAUCCCGGGGCUCAACCCCGGAACUGCCUUUGAUACUGGUGGUCUAGAGUCCGGAAGAGGUGAGUGGAAUUCCGAGUGUAGAGGUGAAAUUCGUAGAUAUUCGGAGGAACACCAGUGGCGAAGGCGGCUCACUGGUCCGGUACUGACGCUGAGGUGCGAAAGCGUGGGGAGCAAACAGG